AUUGAACGCUGGCGGCAGGCUUAACACAUGCAAGUCGAGCGGGGGGAGGUAGCUUGCUACCUAACCUAGCGGCGGACGGGUGAGUAAUGCUUAGGAAUCUGCCUAUUAGUGGGGGACAACAUUUCGAAAGGGAUGCUAAUACCGCAUACGCCCUAAGGGGAAAAGCAGGGGAUCUUCGGACCUGGCGCUAAUAGAUGAGACUAAGUCGGAUUAGCUAGUGGGUGGGUUAAAGGCCUACCAAGGCGACGAUCUGUAGCGGGUCUGAGAGGAUGAUCCGCCACACUGGGACUGAGACACGGCCCAGACUCCUACGGGAGGCAGCAGUGGGGAAUAUUGGACAAUGGGGGGAACCCUGAUCCAGCCAUGCCGCGUGUGUGAAGAAGGCCUUUUGGUUGUAAAGCACUUUAAGCGAGGAGGAGGCUACUGGUAUUAAUACUACUGGAUAGUGGACGUUACUCGCAGAACAAGCACCGGCUAACUCUGUGCCAGCAGCCGCCGUAAAAC
rnacentral:rRNA from 1 species